rnacentral:rRNA from 1 species
UACGAAGGGGGCGAGCGUUGUUCGGAAUUACUGGGCGUAAAGGGCGCGCAGGCGGCUCAUUUUGUCAGGCGUGAAAGCCCCGGGCUUAACCUGGGAGGUGCGUUUGAUACGGAUGGGCUGGAGUUCGGGAGAGGAGAGCGGAAUUCCCAGUGUAGAGGUGAAAUUCGUAGAUAUUGGGAAGAACACCGGUGGCGAAGGCGGCUCUCUGGACCGAUACUGACGCUCAUGCACGACAGCGUGGGGAUCAAACAGG